CCUACGGGGGGCAGCAGUGAGGAAUAUUGGUCAAUGGACGAGAGUCUGAACCAGCCAAGUAGCGUGAAGGAUGACUGCCCUAUGGGUUGUAAACUUCUUUUAUAUGGGAAUAAAAUGUUCCACGUGUGGGAUUUUGUAUGUACCAUAUGAAUAAGGAUCGGCUAACUCCGUGCCAGCAGCCGCGGUAAUACGGAGGAUCCGAGCGUUAUCGGGUUUUAUUGGGUUUAAAGGGAGCGUAGGUGGAUUGUUAAGUCAGUUGUGAAAGUUUGCGGCUCAACCGUAAAAUUGCAGUUGAAACUGGCAGUCUUGAGUACAGUAGAGGUGAGCGGAAUUCGUGGUGUAGCGGUGAAAUGCUUAGAUAUCACGAAGAACUCCGAUUGCGAAGGCAGUUCACUGGACUGCAACUGACACUGAGGCUCGAAAGUGUGGGUAUCAAACAGGAUUAGAUACCCGUGUAGUC
rnacentral:rRNA from 1 species